AUUGAACGCUGGCGGCAGGCCUAACACAUGCAAGUCGAACGGUAACAGGUAUCAGCUUGCUGAUUCGCUGACGAGUGGCGGACGGGUGAGUAAUGUCUGGGAAACUGCCUGAUGGAGGGGGAUAACUACUGGAAACGGUAGCUAAUACCGCAUAACGUCGCAAGACCAAAGAGGGGGACCUUCUGGCCUCUUGCCAUCGGAUGUGCCCAGAUGGGAUUAGCUAGUAGGUGGGGUAACGGCUCACCUAGGCGACGAUCCCUAGCUGGUCUGAGAGGAUGACCAGCCACACUGGAACUGAGACACGGUCCAGACUCCUACGGGAGGCAGCAGUGGGGAAUAUUGCACAAUGGGCGCAAGCCUGAUGCAGCCAUGCCGCGUGUAUGAAGAAGGCCUUCGGGUUGUAAAGUACUUUCAGCGGGGAGGAAGGGAGUAAAGUUAAUACCUUGGCUCAUUGACGUUACCCGCAGAAGAAGCACCGGCUAACUCCGUG
rnacentral:rRNA from 1 species